ensembl:lncRNA
GCCCUAACUACAGAUCUAGGAUCAGAUUACCCAACCCUAUUAUUCUAACCUUAGUUCUUAAGAGGGAGUGACUGGGAACUGACCUUGGAUCAGUGCCUAUGGGCUACUUCAUUCCAUUCUUACAUAUAGAUGUUUACAUAGCUGCUGGUGGGAAGGCACUGUUGUGCUAGUGGUCUAUGAGUGGUGGGACGCCCUCUGCUGGACUGAGGCGGUAUUGAUAAUGCUGUACUGUAUAACCCAGUAUCACGCUAUACUGAUAAGGGGAGUGAGCUGAGGUCUCACAGAUCCCUACAGUGGAGGAAGGCUGAUAAACUAACUGAUUUUAAUAAAGAAGCAAUGACAAUACUCCCCCCUCAGCAUGACAGCACUUGUAUUGGUCAGAGCCAUAUUUAAAUGUAAGCUAAACAUGGCUUUGGUAUUGGACCAAUCCCAUGGGAUAUGUAUUUUAUGACAUUCUUCUAUGCUGUGGUCCAUGGCUCCUUUUCUGACAGUCACAGUUGCUGCUACACAGCUGUACGGUGCAACCUGGAGAUGCUACGUACGAAAAGGGCAAUGAAAGCUGGAUUUCAGGAUUUCUAGCCAACUAUCGACCCACACCUGCCAUGAAUAACUAGGAAGCAUCGAGUAGCAGUGACUUUGGAAAUGGCUGUGUCCUCAGUCUUUCUCAGCCUGGGGUCUAGCUUACCUGUGUCAACAUGGUGACGGCGCCAGGUGUACUGACGACCCUUGUGUUAACAGGAUUGUGUGUCCACGUCACAGGAUCAUCUAGAGCCGUCUGUACCACCCGUCUGUAUUCCCUGAACUUAAACUGUGUCCUGCAGUGGGAUUGUCCACAGGCGAACGCUACCACCACCUACACCGUCCAAACUAAGACUCAGGGUGAUUCGUGGCAGGACGUGGAGAGUUGUGUGCGGUUCUCCUCCCAGCUGUGUGACCUGUCCGAGGCCUUCUCUAACUUCGAGGUGUACAACAUGAUCCGCCUGGGCCUCCACCAGGGCCCGGGGAGUCCAGCCUGGACAGAAAAUCUGGGGUUUGGCGUCCGUGAUUUCAACUUCAGCAGCCCCUCUGUCUUGGUCUCUCUGUCUGGAGAGAUGCUGGGAGUGGAGGUGCACUUACCUUGUUCUAGCAAAAGGGAGUGUCUUCCUCUGCAGAGUUGCUGUCCACUGUCAAAAUUUAUUGACCUCUGGGUCACCGUGACAGUAUAUGACCGGCAGAACCCCUCCGACUACAAGACGCAGAUUGGUUUGGUCCAGACGAUGGUGUAUGGGGCAGAGUUCUCAAACCUGGUCCCAGGACAUGACUACUGUGUCGUGGCUAACUUCUCCAUCAGUCCGGCCACCUUCCCCCAGGCCUCGUCUCCUCCCUCGGACCCCAGUUGUGUCCACCAUGCUGGCCCAGGACUAGGGUUGCAGCCAGUGUUGUUGGGGAUAGGAGUGUGUGCUGUACUCUUCUCUCCUCUCCUUGCUCUGGCUCUGUACCUGCUGAAACAAAAACGAGAUGUACCACACGUAAACAGACUCCCCAAGUCUCUAGCAUCUCUUCAGGCAUUCCUCCAGGACCUACCGGAGUCCCCUUCAGACCCUGUUGACCCCAGUGACAUUGUAGACGACCACCUCUCCAUCCUGUCCUCUUUCUCCAGCUGUGUCUACACCGAGGCCCAGGCCCCAAGCCUGGGUAAUGGGUACAACAGCAACCCCUUCCUCCGUGACUAUAGGUCAGGCAACAUGCACUGGAACACUGAGAGAAUGGAGCUGGACCUGAACUCAGGCAGCACCAUAUCCCUGCCAUGCUCCACUGUGCCUAUAGGCCUGCAUAUGAUCCAGUGCAGCUUUGAUUCACCUCGACAACCACAUCCAGGGCCCAAUGUGCCAGUUCUACCGUACCCUGGUUCUCUAUCUCUGUCAGAGGCCGUGGAGGGCCAGGUGGUCCCGUUGUGUUCUGUGAGGUUUGGGAGGGUGAGUGAUGGGUGUGAGAACCUUGAGGGACUACAGUGGUGUAACCUGUAGCAUGUUGCACUGCAGUACUCACAAUGCCAUGUUUAACAUAUUCCUAUGAACUCCACAGUGCUGAGAGGAGUUCAAAAACUUUAUUGACCAUUUUUGUUGAAAAUUGUAAUUUUUUUCCCUCAGCUUACAGACAUACAUUUUCAGUUCCAACAGGACUGUGGUAUGGUCCAGCACCUUACCAAGGUCAACCAUAACAGGGACAAUACUGGACAGUGCAAUCAUAAACACAUACACUCUUAGAAAAAAGGGUUUCAAAAGGGUUCUUCGGCUGUCCCCAUAGGAGAACCCUUUUCGGAACCAAAACUAUUCUUCCUGGAACCAAAAAGGGUUCUUCAAUGGGUUAUCCUAUGGGGACAGCCGACAAGGUUCUAGAUGGCACCUUUUUUUUUCUAAGGGGGGUUUAUUAUUCUGACUCCCCUUUAAAUUUACUUUGUCUACUGUGCCAAGUGUCUUUUCAGCUCUUUUUCUGUGUCAUAAUAGGUUGUUCUUCCCCCUCUCUCUGCCUUGCUUCUGACUCACUGUUGCCCCAUCCCAUCUCCGGCCUGACCCCCACUGUCUCUUACCCGUGUCUGACAUCUCAUUCUGGGGGAGGAGGGCAGAGGGUAGGGGAACAUCUCUCUCCUGCCUCUUGUUUCACUGGUGGUGCACUUUCCCCGGAACAUUAGAACAUUCGGGGGUAGAGACAGAGGAGACGUUGGAUGGGAAACAGUGAUUGGCCCUAUUGUUCUGGAAACCACAUAGCCUGUGUAUGGCUCAUAAUAAUAUCACUGUCUGGAGGAUUUUGAUUCAUGUAUUCAUGUUGUUGGUCUAAUAUUGGGGUUGGAUCAUGAGUCCAAACUAAGCAGUGUGUUUGCUUGCCAAUCAUAAAUGCUAAUUCUCAGGCAUCCAACAGGUAUCGCAUCUAACCUUGCACUUGGGUUUUUGGAGCAACUUUUAUGGGUUCUGCUGUAUUUGCAGUCAAUUCACCGGAAACCUGAUCCAAAAUGGUCGCUUUGUGGCUCACUCUUCACUGGUGUGUGCUGGCUAGCUCUGCAGCUGAGGUGGUGAAGUUGGAUUGGGGAUUUACGUGGUGUUUGACAGGCAGUAAAAAAUGUUGGGGGG